CGCCCUGUAGUCAAACGGUUAAGACGGCUCCCUUUCACGGAGCAGUUCCGAGUUCGAUUCUCGGCAGGGUGA
rnacentral:tRNA from 1 species